UACGGGGGGGCAAGCGUUGUUCGGAAUUACUGGGCGUAAAGGGCUCGUAGGCGGCCAACUAAGUCGGAUGUGAAAUCCCCAGGCUCAACUUGGGAACUGCAUCCGAUACUGGAUGGCUUGAAUUCGGGAGAGGGAUGCAGAAUUCCAGGUGUAGCGGUGAAAUGCGUAGAUAUCUGGAGGAAUACCGGUGGCGAAGGCGGGUCUCUGGACAGUUCCUGACACU
rnacentral:rRNA from 1 species